GAUCCAAGUGUCUAACUAUAAAUGAAGCAGUUGGGUGAAAAAGAGAUCCUUGCAAAAUAUUAUUUUUGAAAGUGAUUCUCUUGUCCUUGUCCAGUCAGUAAAUGAAUUUCACAGGGAUCCAUCUUAUUUUGGUGAUUUAGUCUCAGAUUGUGAAGUCUUGCUUAAAGAAAUUGCUAAUGGUUCUGUUGUUUAUAUUAAAAGGUCAGCAAAUUGCAUGGCACACCUAUUAGCCACUUCUGCAAUUUCUUGGAUUGAUAUGCAGGAUUGAGGGUCCAAUUCGUCUGCUCUUAUUUUAAACAGUGUUUUUUCUUAUUCCAAGCUAUGGUGGGUUGCUUUGGUCCAUCGCCUUUGGAUCCAGAUGAAGGCUUGCGCAGUGGGAAGUGGAUGGUGAAGAAGAAGAAGAAGGCUAUUCCCGGUAUUUUAAGACCUACCUUGCUCAUGCUUAUGUUGCAAAUGUGCACGGUUGAAGCACAAUCUGUGAAACUUCCUCCAG